GAUGAAUUGGAUUGAUGAUACUUUGGCAAAGCAAGGUUUGCAUCACCACAAUGACUUUGUUGCUUGGUUAUAAUCAUUUUUCCUUUUAGUGCAAUGCAGCCAUUGUAUUAUGAUGUGUAGAGAUGCUUUUUUGUGGUGUGGAAUGGUCUGUUGCAGCGUGUUGCUUUGGUUCAUUUGAAGUCUUUGGAGUCUCUUUGACCAUCCCUUGUGUAAUUGUUGUUGCUGGCUCCCUAGAAAGUUUGAGUUUUGUAGCUAUUUUUUUGGUGAAUUUGUUGGUUAUUUGGUUUCUAUAUCAUUAUAGCUGUUGUCUUGUUUAUUGGUCUCUUGGUUUUUUGGCAGACUUGGUUCUCAGAUUAUCUAGGCUUUGUUUAGUGUUGGUUCAUGGUUUUAUCUUGCAACUUUCUUUAGGUUUUUCCACUUAACAUGCUCCGUCUUUGAUUGGGUGUAGUGGGGAGGAUCUGCUGACCUAGAUUUAG
rnacentral:misc_RNA from 1 species